GAUGAACGCUAGCUACAGGCUUAACACAUGCAAGUCGAGGGGAAACGAUAUUGGAAGCUUGCUUCCGAUAGGCGUCGACCGGCGCACGGGUGAGUAACGCGUAUCCAACCUGCCCACCCCUUGGGGAUAACCUUGCGAAAGUAAGACUAAUACCCAAUGAUAUCUCUAGAAGACAUCUGAACGGGAUUAAAGAUUUAUCGGUGAUGGAUGGGGAUGCGUCUGAGUAGCUUGUUGGCGGGGUAACGGCCCGCCAAGGCUACGAUCAGUAGGGGUUCUGAGAGGAAGGUCCCCCACAUUGGAACUGAGACACGGUCCAAACUCCUACGGGAGGCAGCAGUGAGGAAUAUUGGUCAAUGGGCGAGAGCCUGAACCAGCCAGGUAGCGUGCAGGAUGACGGCCCUAUGGGUUGUAAACUGCUUUUAUAAGGGAAUAAAGUGAGUCUCGUGAGACUUUUUGCAUGUACCUUAUGAAUAAGGACCGGCUAAUUCCGUGCCAGCCGCCGCGGUAA
rnacentral:rRNA from 1 species